UACGGAGGGUGCAAGCGUUGCUCGGAAUCACUGGGCGUAAAGGGCGCGUAGGCGGCCACCGCAAGUCGGUUGUGAAAUCUCUGGGCUUAACCCAGAAAGGUCAACCGAUACUGCGGGGCUAGAGUGCAGAAGGGGCAACUGGAAUUCUCGGUGUAGCGGUGAAAUGCGUAGAUAUCGAGAGGAACACCUGCGGCGAAGGCGGGUUGCUGGGCUGACACUGACGCUGAAGCGCGAAAGCUAGAGGAGCGAACGGG
rnacentral:rRNA from 1 species